UACGUAUGGGGCAAGCGUUAUCCGGAUUCAUUGGGCGUAAAGAGCGCGUAGGCGGCUUGUUAAGUCAGAUGUGAAACCUGGGGGCUCAACCCGCAGCGUGCAUCUGAAACUGGCAGGCUUGAGUCUGGUAGAGGAAAGUGGAAUUCCCAGUGUAGCGGUGAAAUGCGCAGAUAUUGGGAGGAACACCAGUGGCGAAGGCGGCUUUCUGGGCCACGACUGACGCUGAGGCGCGAAAGCUAGGGGAGCAAACAGG
rnacentral:rRNA from 1 species